AUGGCGCUAGCGAACGCACGGCUUGGUGUCCUCAUCGUGGCGGCGAUGUUAUCCGCCAGCUUCCUCCCGCUGGCGACGGCUAGAGGGAGGGGCGGCCCCAUCAACCCACUGGUCGCCGGCGUAUGCGCGCAUACACCGUUCCCCGAGCUGUGCAAGGGCACGGCUGGGAAACACGCGGACAAGUACCCGACCAUCGACAAUCUAGCAGUGCUUAACAUGCAGGUUGACGCGUUUGCCAAGCGAACGGCGCAGGCCCGGAAGUUCGUCGCAAGCGCGUCCCGAAAGGGGACACCCGCGCAGACCCAGGCGCUGAGCUUCUGCGACACCAUGUACAUGAACACCCAGGACACCAUCGGCGCGGCGCAGCGGGCCAUCGUCUUCAAAGACAAGGGCACGGCCAAGAUCAUGCUGCAGCUCGCCGUGCAGGACUUCCAGUCGUGCGACCGGCCGUUCCAGCAGUCCGGGAUACCAAACCCAAUGCUCAAGUACGACGAAGAGCUCAGCCAGAUGGCCAAUAAUUGCAUGCAACUGGCCAACAUGAUGUGA
rnacentral:rRNA from 1 species